rnacentral:lncRNA from 10 species
AGAGCUGCAGAGAAGGCAGCCGCGGGAGCAAGAGCUAGACCGACUAUUGAAUGUGCCCUGCAGCCACCCUGGCGCCUUCUCACUCUCUUGCAUCCCAACGUCCUUGUCAGCUGUGGAGCCUGUUAAAGGCGCUUCGAUCCUGGGGGGAAAAAACACACAAUUUCCCUACUUUUUUCUCUUUUUCACAGCAGUCCCCCUUUUAAAGCCUUAUUAAUGUUCAGUCGUACACAGAAAUAGAAUAAUGUAAUGAUCCUCUAAGUACCCAUCACCCAGCUUCAACAAUUAUCAACAUAUGGCCAAUCUUGUUUUAUUUAUUCCACCUCCCCCAAAGUUAGUUUAAAGCAAAUCCCAGACAUCACAUGAUUUCAUCCAUUAUGUAUCUCUAAAAUAUAAGGUUCUUAAAAAAACAUUACUAUAACAUUUUUAUCGCACCUAAAAAACCAACAAAUCCUUAGUAGUGUCUUAACAUUCAUCCUGUCUCCAAAUUUCCCUAAAUGUCAUAGAAAUGUCUUUAAACUGUUGGCUUGUUCAAAUUAGAAUCCGACCAGGGUGC